AAGUCGUAACAAGGUUUCCGUAGGUGAACCUGCGGAAGGAUCAUUACAACGUAUCCACGUAUCAAACUCGCGAACUGUCCCCUUUAGAGUAAACAAUUGUGGAUGAAGUUAAUGGCUGAUCGAUUCUCGCUGAUGGAGUUCACGGAUUUUUAUCUGAGAACUGAGAGUCUGUUGGUCGCUGGCCGAAGCGCUUGCGUUUCAGCUGGGACUUCGUUUACUCUACUGCGGUUUUUUACCAUCGGCGCCUGUUUUACCCAUUAUUAACCCUUUGAAAAUUUUGAACUGAACUUGAAGAUCGGCUGCGGCUGUCCUUGUUGGCUCCGGUGCCAACAACUCUUAGCAACGGAUAUCUUGGUUCUC
rnacentral:misc_RNA from 1 species